GUGCUCGUGCCAUGUGCCUGUCAGUUCUGCAAGCAUUUGUUGGAUGUGAAGGUUGGUGUGAUGACCACGCUGCCCACAACAGGCAAAAGGGUGCGGACAGCUGAGGCUCCUCACUUCCCGCUCCAAAGCUCAGAACCUCCCUUCCCUCCUGGAUCCAACAGAAGCAGCGGCCGCUGCUGCCUGUGCCUCUCAAACUUGUCACCCACGGAUGCUGGGAAAAAUGCACAUAAAAUGACUGGAUGGAGAUGACCCAGGAAGGGGCCCUGUUGCCCAGGAAAUGGGCUUGUCCUGAACCACAGCUUGAAGGAGAGCCACCGACUGAUCAGGAAUACCCAACUGGACUUUAUUCCAGCAACAUACAAAGCAUUACUGUGCUGGGCCAUGGUAUAUUAUUGGGUUUCUUUUAUUAGAACACUUGGCAUUACCUUCACUAAUAUACACUCAUCAUAGUAGACAUUUUCACUAGUUAUAGAUGAUAUGCACUAUUUUCCCUUCUGAAACAGAAAUUUGCAGCAGCACUGCCAAAGGACAAUAGAUUUUUAAAAAUCAUAGAAUGACUGGAGUUCAUGUCUCUGCAAAGAACAUCUAAGCCCUAAGCCAUCCAGAGUGGAUGAGGCAUCUCUGCAUGAGUUAAAUUACACACUCCAGCUGCUGUAACCAAGAAGGAGUUUCACAGUGGUCAAAACGUCGUAGAAGUUUAGUUCUCAUGCAUGUAACAGUCCAAACGCAGCUCCACAGUGGCAAGGAGCCAGCGUCCUUUCUCUUGCUGUCCUGCUGUGCUCAAGAGGUGGCUUCUGUCUUUGAGUCCAACGUGGCUGCUCUGGCCCCAGCCAUCAUUUCUAUACUCCAGCAGGUGGCAAGUGGGAAGAAGAAAGGGAGAGCUUAUGCCUUUCAUUUUAGGGACACAUGGCCUAGUGCUGCUCACAUCACCCUGCUCACCUUGUGUUGGGACCAGAGUCUAGUCACAUGGCAGCAAAUAGCUGUGAGGAAUAUUGGGAAAGGUUGUCUUUGGCUACUUGGCCUCAUGACCAUCGGAAACUGCUGUACUACAAAAGGUGGGUUCUGAUCAUCUUAGUUGGGAAUGCUGUGACAAAUGACCAUAGCCUGGGGGCUUAAACAACAAACAUUUAUUUCACACAGUCCUGGAGGCUGGAGAUCCAAGAUCAAAAUGCUGGCUGGCUUGGUGUCUGGUGAGGGCUUGCAGACAGCCACUUGUUGUAUCCUCAAAUGGUAGAGAGAGAGAGAGAAAGACAGAGAGAGACAGAGAGAGGCAGAGAGAGAGAGAGGGAGCAAGCUCUCUUGAGCCUCUUAUCAGGGCACUAAUCCCAUCUUGAGGGGUCCCUCCUCAUGGCCUAAUCAAUCAUCUCCCAAACGCCUCAACUCCCAACACCAUCAUGUUGUGGGUGAGGGUUUCAGCACAUGAAUUUGGAGGGGACACAGACAUUCAGUGUGCAGAGGCUGCCACUGUGCCUCUCUGUCCCCAUCCCUUUCCUGACACCUUAGAGUGUGUGUCCCCACAGGAAAGCAAUGUCCUUCAACAUCUCUUCCCAGGAGCCCCUGAGCACCCGCUUCCCUCUCACUUUAUUACUGCUCCUAUCCAUACAGGUUUGGGCAGGAGAACAGGAGCCACACUCAGUAUUUAGAGGAAAGAGAGACAGAGAGCACAAGUGAGAGAGAUUGACUUAAUCCAGGAAAUCAGAGGCUCACACAGACAUUGGAAGGGAGCGGUGAAGGUCAGUUUUAGGAAACCCAGAAGUGCAGAGAUGACGAGGAAGCCCCGAAAUGCCCCUGGAAGCCCGCAGUGCCCAGUGAGCCAUUCCCAGGGAACGCCUGGGAACCACCAGAGGCUGACAAGCCUGGAACCACUGGGGGAGGGGACCUGGGAAACUGGGGAGAACAUGGAGGUGACGGGAUGACGCUGAGUUGGAACGGACAACCCAAUGCAGGCUUCCUCUCCUCGCUUCUCAGCCCAGCAGGGUGGCUGGCUCAUUUGUGGGAUUUAUCACCAACUAAGGGUUUUCAGGGGGUUGAAAAUGGCUCAUUAUCCCUCCUAGAUAAUGUUGCCUCUUAGUAGAGGAUUUGAUGCUUUGACCCAGACAUGAUUCCUCCUGUGGGCAUGAAAAUAUAUAUUUUUUCUUUUCAACUUUUAGUCUAAGUUCCAGGGUCCAUGUGCAGGAUGUGCAGGUUUGUUACAUAGGCAGAUGUGUGCCAUGGUGGUUUGCUUUGAAGCAGAGACUGGUGGGUGCGGAGCAAGGCCAGUUCCGCCCUGCUCCAGCCUCUCCUGGCUCUGCCCCCUGCCCUCCACUCAGCACUUGGUUUCUGCAGUCACCUCCCCUCUCCGGUCUCUCCGGGUAUGGCCCCUCUCUGGGUCACUCCCAUCAGCAUUCAUCCUCGUCUCCAGGCAUGGGAGGUCUCCGUGACCCCAUGCCCCUGAGCACCGCUGCCCUAUUUCUCUGGUCCCUUUCUCUGGACCCUAUUUCUCUGGUCCCUUUUGCGGCCAGAGUCCUCAGAAGAGCUGGCUGCCCACCGCCUCUCCUCCCGCCCCUCUGCUGAGGCUGUAUCGUGACCACCCCACCCCCCUGCCACAUCACAUCAGGGGGCCUGCCCUCUGUCCUCCUCUUCUGUUUCCUCUUCGUUGCUUUUCUCACGCUUGGCCCUUCAUCCCUUCUCUCCUGGGCUCCCCGGACCUCCUGCGCAUGGGUUUCUUUCUGCCCCUGUCUCUUUCCCUGCAUUCUUGUCCUCUUCUCGGCAUUCUGUUUUCAGUCUGUCCCUCUGCCAUGUGACUGUCCAGUACACGUGAGUACAUGGGAUAUGUUCCCCAAACCAUGGAGGCUGGGCUUAGCCAUGUGACCUGCUUUGGCCAAGGAUGUUUUGACAGCACUGCACAAGCAGAGGUCUCAGCUGUGCUUCUGCGGCGGCGGGGCUCCCCCCCGGGGCUCCUGUCACCUGUCUGGGGAGAACGUGCUCCAGGCGCGGCCCUUCCAGAGAGUGUGGAAUCCCCGGGGAAGCCCAGAUGAUCCACAGCCAGACGCUGGCUGAGGUUGAGAAACUGGCACUUGUUGAUGUCAGCCACCGAGUUUGGAGUUUUGGAGUGGCUUGUCAGACAGCAGCAUUGUAGCAAUGGCCGAAUCAUCCAUGAAGACGCUGAAUUUCAUUUUUGUUUUUUGUUACGGCAGCAUAACUUUGCUGAUCUGGUCUGUGACAAAAUAACUUUUUCCUCUGUCAGUCUUUCUCUUUUCAUU
rnacentral:lncRNA from 10 species